CACCUCUAGCAUAACAACUAUUAGAGGCACCGCCUGCCCAGUGACAUAUGUUCAACGGCCGCGGUACCCUGACCGUGCAAAGGUAGCAUAAUCAUUUGUUCUUUAAUUAAGGACUUGCAUGAAAGGCCCAACGAGGAUUUUACUGUCUCCUACUUCCAAUCAGUGAAAUUGACCCCCCCGUGAAGAGGCAGGGAUAACCAUAUAAGACGAGAAGACCCUACGGAACUUUAAUUAACUAGCCUAAUCAUAACCCAUACAAACCUAGCAGGGACAACUUUCCAUGACCUAGACUAGCAAUUUCGGUUGGGGCGACCUCGGAGUACAAAAAAACCUCCGAAUGACCAUGCACCCAGACCUCACCAGUCAACGUGCCCCAAUAUCAACUCAAUUGACCCAAGUAAUUGACCAACGGAACAAGCUACCCUAGGGAUAACAGCGCAAUCCUAUUUCAGAGUCCAUAUCGACAAUAGGGUUUACGACCUCGAUGUUGGAUCAGGACAUCCCAGUAGUGUAACCGCCACUAAAGGUUCGUUUGUUCAACGAUUAAAGUCCUACGU
rnacentral:rRNA from 1 species